UCCAGUUGUUCAAAAGCAGAUUAACUCAAUCCAGGGUUAGAGUAAACUUCAGAUUCAUGUUUUUAAUUUUUUUGGUGAAAAUUCUUUGGCAUAUUUUUGUCUUUCAAGUUUGACUUCUUCUUCUAAUGUAAAGUUUCUCUCAACAUCAGCGAUGAACAGCAUUUGGGAGUAGAGAAAUAACUCCUUGGCAAAUUUUUAAUCUCGGAUUAGUGUUAAUCGUCCUCUAAAUAACUGGCCCCUUCUUGUAAAGCACAAACUCAU